rnacentral:rRNA from 1 species
AUUGAACGCUGGCGGCAUGCUUUACACAUGCAAGUCGAACGGUAACAGGCCGCAAGGUGCUGACGAGUGGCGAACGGGUGAGUAAUGCAUCGGAACGUGCCCAGUCGUGGGGGAUAACGCAGCGAAAGCUGUGCUAAUACCGCAUACGAUCUCAGGAUGAAAGCAGGGGACCGCAAAGCCUUUCGCUCACGGAGCGGACGAUGGCAGAUUAGGUAGUGGGUGGGAUAAAAGCUUACCAAGCGGACGAUCUGUAGCUGGUCUGAGAGGACGACCAGCCACACUGGGACUGAGACACGGCCCAGACUCCUACGGGAGGAAGCAGUGGGGAAUUUUGGACAAUGGGCGCAAGCCUGAUCCAGCCAUGCCGCGUGCAGGAUGAAGGCCUUCGGGCUGUAAACUGCUUUUGUACGGAACGAAAAGACUCUGGUUAAUACCUGGGGUCCAUGACGGUACCGUAAGAAUAAGCACCGGCUAACUACGUGCCAGCCGCCGCGGUAA